rnacentral:rRNA from 1 species
AUGCCAACUAAUCACUUUGGACGGGCUAUUCGACCCAGGGCAAAGACAUGGUUGCCACCACCAGAGUUUGCUGCAAAAUUCAACUGCGAUGGCUGUCUGUCUACCCUGGGGGAGAAAGGUGCAGCGGCAGUGGUCUGCAGGGACAAGGACGGGAAUUAUCUCGGGUCAUCGGCAUUAGUUUUUGGAGGCUUGUCUGAUACAUAUAGCCUGGAGGCAAAAGCAUGCUGUGAAGCACUGGCCCUUGCGCAAGAUCUUCAUUUACAAGACUUGGUGAUUGCCUCAGAUUGCCUAGAAGUUAUUUCAAACAUAAAGAGAGGAGGGUCUCCGGGGUAUGCUCAUAUUCUUAGGGAGAUUCAGUUUAGUAAAAACUUAUUUUCUUCUGUUGAGUUCCGUUUUGAGCAUAGGGAAAAUAAUUUCGAGACCCAUUUGCUAGCUAAAGGAGCUGCGUCUCCGGCGGUGGGUCGCCAAGUGUGGCUAGGGGUUCGUCCAGAUAUUGCUUGUAUUCCGUUUGUUUUGAACUCUGAAUAA